ensembl:lncRNA
GCACGUGUGUGUGGGAGGUCUGAGUGAGUGAGUGUGUGUGUGUGUGUGUGUGUGUGUGUGUAGAGCUACUGUAAUAGGAGCUUCCACCUGUGCUUACGCACAUCUGAGAGAAGACAAGGCUCUCUGUGUUCCCAGGUCCAAGACACACUCUCUGCAGGGGGCAGGGGGACGUGGAAAAGGGACACAACAGGUGGACAAAAGGGAGGGAAUCCCCCCUUAAACACACACACACACACACACACACACACCAACCAUAAAAUCCUCUGAACUAAAAGAGCUGGACUUGACUUUUUGGGAAGUGUAUAAUCACCUCUCUAUUAGUCGUCAUAUUUUUUGGGACAGGGUUACCAGAUUUUUUUAAAUCAUAUAUAUAUAUAUAAAAUUCUCCUCAUUUUAAAGUUAUCAAAUUUACUAUUUUUAGCAAUUCAUAUGUUUUUGUUGUUGUUGCUGCUGCUUGAUUCAAAAUUUGUUGAAGGCUUAUUAUUUUCUGUAUCAAGGUUGCCAGAUUUCCUAUUUCUGGUCUUUUUAAUAACACAAUCCUUGAAAAUUAAUUUUCACUAGAAUUAAAGUUUCUCGAAGGAAUGGAAAUUUACUAUUACUGUUCAUUUCUAUGUUAUUGUUGUUGUUGUUAUAAUCCUCUCUUUCUAGUCCUUAAUAGUUUCUGGAACAGGGUUGCCAGAUUGACAGAUUGGGCUGUUUGUCAAAUCGUAGAAAUAAUUUUAUCUUAUUUACUCUUUCUAGUAACCAGUCACUCUUGUAGUGAAUCCGUCACAGUCGCUCUGUCACGCUUCGAUCAAGUUCUUGGAAAGCUACAUGACAAUGAAGUGGAUUUAAACCUCAUCAAAUCAGAUUGUAAUCAGAUUCCAGCUGUCAAAAUGUCUGUGAUGAAAUCGGAAUAAAUGCAGUUUCCUCCAUUUUCACUUCAACCAAACUGUACCUGACAUAUUUAAUUUUAGAAAAAGUCUGCAGCUUUCAGAACUACAUACGUACUAUAUAUAGUAGUAAAUGUUACCAUGUGAGGCAUUUUUUCAGGCCACCACACAUAUGUUUAUUUAAAAGGGUGUAAUUUGAAGCAAGUAUAUAUAUAUAUAUAUAUGUAUGGUAAUUCGGGUGUGUGCUUACUUUGAUAUUUUAAGA